UGGUGGGGUGACGGCCUACCAAGGCGACGACGGGUAGCCGGCCUGAGAGGNNNCCGGCCACACUNGNGACUGANAUACGGCCCANACUCCUACGGGAGGCAGCAGUGGGGAAUAUUGCACAAUGGGCGCAAGCCUGAUGCAGCGACNCCGCGUGGGGGAUGACGGCCUUCGGGUUNUNNNCCUCUUUCACCAUCGACGAAGGUUCGGGUUUUCUCGGAUUGACGGUAGGUGGAGAAGAAGCACCGGCCAACUACGUGCCAGCNGCCGCGGUAAUACGUAGGGUGCGAGCGUUGNCCGGAAUUACUGGGCGUAAAGAGCUCGUAGGUGGUUUGUCGCGUUGUUCGUGAAAUCUCACGGCUUAACUGUGAGCGUGCNGGCGAUACNGGCAGACUAGAGUACUGCAGGGGAGACUGGAAUUCCUGGUGUAGCGGNGNAAUGCGCAGAUAUCAGGAGGAACACCGGUGGNGAAGGCGGGUCUCUGGGCAGUAACUGACGCUGANGAGCGAAAGCGUGGGGAGCGAACAGGAUUAGAUACCCUGGUAGUCCACGCCGUAAACGGUGGGNACUAGGUGUGGGNUUCCUUCCUUGGGAUCCGUGCCGUAGCUAACGCAUUAAGUACCCCGCCUGGGGAGUACGGCCGCAAGGCUAAAACUCA
rnacentral:rRNA from 1 species